ACAAUUUUUAAAACAGAGCUUGGCCUACAACUUUAAAAGAAGGUUUGAUCAAGCACAUAAUGAAACAGACAACUGACAUCGCUUUCAGAACACAUCACUUACUUCAUACUUUAACCAAGGUAAACAACCCUGUUGAAAAUGGCAUAUAAAAAACGCAUGAACGCAUUGAUAUCUCAUUCCAACACAAAUAAGAACUUUAAAGUUUCACUAUCAUGAAACACUAGUGGCUAGUGUUUUUUUUUUUUUUUAAGAUAUUUUACACAUAUGCAUUGCUUCACUUCAUGUGUGGAGCAUUUUUUAUGAUGGAUGGAUGCACCUUAUUGGACUUCUACUGGACUAUUGAAUAUCACCACCCAUUCACUGCCAUUAUAAAGCUUGAAAGAGCCAGAACAUUUUUAAUAUAGAUGCUAACUUCUGGGUUGACCUACAAAAAAAAAAAAAAAACUAAAAUUAAUCAUGGUUUUACUACAGACAAUAAAAAAUAAAUAAAUAAAUAACCAUGGUUACUAUAGUUAAAAUAUGGUAACCAGAAAUUACCCAUGGUUUUGCUACACUAACCAUAGUUUAACCAUGUAUUUGUAGUAAAAUGUGGUUAUACAAAUGGAAAUCAGUAUGCCAAAAACACAUGGUUACUACACUUGUACUAUAAUAAAACCAUCCCUGAAGGCUGCAGCACUCCAUUGACAGCAAAUGUUUCUCAUUGACAUCAUGUCACUUAAACAUGCAGCAGUUUUGGAUGCCUUGUGAGUGAGAACAUGUUGAGGGUAAAGAGCCCUUGUACAAUAAAAACUACAUGAAACGAAAUAGAUGGCUAGCAUUUUCAAAUGCCAAAAAUAAUGGACUCAUUCAUCCAUCCUCUUUGAGCAGUUAAUGAGGAUACAUGAGUGAUAUCAUGAGUCCUCUGUGCCACUGAGGCAGUAUUAAGUGUCAUUGUGAGCUGUGUGGUUAGUGUCUGGCAUUCAGCUGGCGACAGUGUGAAGUUCUCACUUCCAUGGAAACUCACAACAGAGGAGGCCAGACUAGAGUAACUCAUGCUAGGAAUGACAUUAAACUGAUGCUCACAGAUGAAGUAAAUUUAACUCAACAACUGCUCCCAACAGAUAUUACUGAGCUGCAGGCCGUCGUCAAGCAGCUCAGAGGUACAUGAGAAGCAAGAUGUCACAGAGGAAC
rnacentral:lncRNA from 12 species